UACGUAGGGACCGAGCGUUGUCCGGAUUCAUUGGGCGUAAAGAGCUCGUAGGCGGUUUGUCGCGUCUGCUGUGAAAACUCGAGGCUCAACCUCGGGCUUGCAGUGGGUACGGGCAGACUAGAGUGCGGUAGGGGUGACUGGAAUUCCUGGUGUAGCGGUGGAAUGCGCAGAUAUCAGGAGGAACACCGAUGGCGAAGGCAGGUCACUGGGCCGCAACUGACGCUGAGGAGCGAAAGCAUGGGGAGCGAACAGG
rnacentral:rRNA from 1 species